GAGAAAUGAGGAUACAUGUCAUGUCUUAAUGUUCAAUGAAGACAUCAGAUCCAACUCUGAUCUUGCUCUGUUC